AUACUGUUGAGGAGUCCCAUACCAGAACGAAACGACUGUCCAGUAU
rnacentral:hammerhead_ribozyme from 1 species